CGCCGUAGUAGUUCUGGUCCCCGAUGCUUCCUCUCUUGGAGUGAGCGGCGUUCAGGAUGUGAGUGAUGCCCAGCUUCUGCAGAGCGCUCCGGUUCUGUGCUAUUCCUCUGACGGCAAAAAUAAUACAGAAGAUAAGAUGAAAUAACAGCACGUAUGCGUGGAACGACACGGGGGUCGCCUCAGAGUCGCAUCCAGAGCCCGCAGCUGUUUGAGAAAGCCUCGGUUUGGAAAGAUCCAGCGGUGCUGCUUGACCGUUGUGAUGGCGUCCAGCAGAGAAAGAUGCUGGUGUAUCAUGAGAUAAGCCAGGACCAGAGACGCAGAGCGGCUUACUCCGACCGCACAGUGAACCAGAACACGCUCUGCACACAACGUUCACAAACCAUAAACAGAAUACAGUAUUUUUUCAUAUCGCUACAAAUAAAUAAAUGCACAUCCCGCAGCACAAUAACCUGAGACCACGCUCAUAACGAGUUAAGCAUGAUAUUUAGCGAACAGGCCUAUAUGUUUGACUUGGGCUCAAGUACACUUAAAAAUAAAGGGGCUUAAUAGGUUCUUCGCAGCGAUGCCACAGAUGAACCAGUCAGAAUUUGUUUAUAUAAUAUAUAUUUAUUUUUAGUAAUUUUAUUACGAUUAAUAAUUUUAGUAACAAGUUAAAGCAAAUUAAAAAUUAAAAAUGCUGUCUCAACAUUUAGCUGAAAUUAAAUAAUAUCUCAAGAUUUUAUUUUGGUUAAAGUUGAUUUUAGUUUAUUCAAGUAACAUAAUUUUUUUAUGUUCAUAAAUAACUGGUGGAAAUACAAGAAGCGUAACAAUUCAGGUUUGAUUCAAAUGUCAAAAAAAAAAAAAAAAAAGAUUCGGUCAUUAACUCAAAAACAUUCCAGUUUGAUUCAAAAUGAUUCCAAACAAGCGACUCGUCAGUUAAAGACUCAUUUAAAAGAAUCAUCCUGAAAAA